rfam:Cellulomonas sp. PSBB021 chromosome, complete genome.
ACUGAACACCCUCCACGACGGAUCGUCCGGCACGUACCUGCCGGUGAAGGGAUUGGUAGCA